UUGCUGGAUUGUGUAGUAGUUCUAGUUUUAAUUUUUUAAAGAAUCUCCUUGGGACUCCUGGGUGGCUCAGUUGGUUAAGCGUCUGAUUUCAGCUCAGGUCAUGAUCUCACAGUUCAUGGGUUGGAGUCCCGCUACAGGCUCUGUGCUGACAGCUCAGAGCCUGGAGCCUGCUUUGACUUCUGCGUUUCCCUCUCUGUUCCUCCCCUGCUUGCUCUCUCUCUCUCUCUCUCUCUCUCUCUCUCUAAAAAAAAAUAAACAACAAAAAAGAACCUUACUGUUUGUCAGAUUGGGUGUACCAGUUUACACUUCCACCAGUUGUGAAUGAAGAUUCCUUUCUUCUGCAUCCUUACCAUCCCUUGUUAUCUCUUGCCUUUUUUAUUAUAGUCAUUAUAAUAGGGGUGAGGUAAUAUCUCAUUGUGGUUUUGAUUUGCAUUUCCCUGAUGAUUAGUGAUAUCGAGCACCUUUUUCAUGUAUCUGUUGACCAUUUGAACAUCUUUGGGAAAAUGUCUUCAGGUUCUUGGACCAUUUUUAAAUUUGAUUAUUGGGGGAUUUUUUUUCGUUAUUGAGUUGCAUGAGUUCCAUAUGUGGUUUGCAAAUUUAUUCUUCCUCCAUAAGUUGCCUUUUCAUUUUUUUAAUCUCGUUUAUUUUUCUGUGCAAAAGCUUUUUAGUUUGAUGGAGUCCCCCUUAAUUUAUUUUUGCUUUUGUUACUUGAACUUUAUAUGUCAUAUGUAAAAAAUCAUUGUCAGAGCUUUUUGCCAGUGUUUUCUUCUCGGAGCUUUAUGGUUUCAGGUGUUAAUAUUUAAUUCGUUAAUCCAUUUUGAGUUAAUUGUGAGUGAUAUAAGAAAGGGGUCUACUUUCAUUCUUUGGCAUGUGAAUAUCCAAUUUCCCCCGCAGCCUUUAUUGAAGAGACUGCCUUUUAUUUAUUGAGUAUUCUUGGCUUUGUUGUCAGGUAUUAAUGGACUAUGAAUGUAUGGGUUUGUUUCUGGGCUCUCAAUUCUGUCCCAUUGAUCUAUGGGUCUGGUUUUAUACUGAUACCUUACUGUUUUGGUUACUAUAGCUUUGUAAUAUAGUUUGAAAUCAGGAAAUGUUAUAUCUCUAGCUUUAUUCUUCUGUGUCAGGAUUGCUUUGGCUCUUCCAGGUCUUUUGAUUUAAAGUCUAUUUUGUCUGAUACUAGUAUAGUCACACUUACUCUCUUUUGGUACUUUUUGCAUGGAAUAUUAUUUUCCCAUACUUUCAACCUGUUUGUGAGUUUUGAGCUCAUGUAGUUGGAUCAUGUGUUCUUUAUCCAUUCUGCCAAUCACUGUCUUUUGAUUGGAAGAGUUUAACCCAUUUACAUUUAAAGUAAUUACUGAUAAGGAGAGACUUCUAUCAUUGUGCUAUUUGUUUUAUAUAUGCUUUAUGAAUUUUCCCCCUCACUUCCUACAUUACUCUUUUGUGUUUAGUUGACUUUGGGGGGGGGGUAGUGAAAUGUUUAAAUUCUUAUUUUCUUUUGUGUAUAGAGUCUUUGUAGUUACCAUGGGGAUUAUAUUUAACAUCCUAGUUUUAAUCUAUACCAGUUUAAUUUCAAUAACAUAUAAAAAUUCUGCCCCUUUACAGCUCUGUAUCUGCCUCUUUGGGUUGUUGAUGUCACAUAAUUAUGUCUUUAUACACUGUGUGCCCCAAAGUAUAAGGUGGUAAUCUUUUAAUGUGGAAAGUUUCUUAAUGUAGAAAAGACUUGGAGUAACAAACCAAAGUUACAGUAACAUUAGAUGUCCUGUUAUUCCCAGCCUAUUGAUAGUGAUGCUGUGGCUGAGAAUGCCUGAGACACUUGCCCAAGCCCAUAGUCCUUGUAGCAAGCCUCCCAGACAUUUCCCCUGCUGGGGCCAAUGCUGUGGCUGGACCAUCCCUUGUGGUUCUUAUGAUUGCAGAAUAUACCUCAGCAACGACCAUCAGAGAACUUUGUUGAAGAACAGGUGUUAUUACUCACAGAUCCCAGAUGGUAGUGCAUGGCAUACCUGAAAGCCGCACAGUGAGGUUGUACCUAUAGGGAGAGAGAGUGUAGACCUGGGGCUCUGCCUUUAUUAGGAACGGAGGGGAGGGGAGGGUGUCUAGAGUUUCACAGAUGUACUCCUUAUUGGCUAAUUUAUUUUUUUUAAUUUGUUCAACGGUCAUUUAUUUUUGAGAGAGAGAGAGAGAGAAUGUGUGUGUGUUGAGCGGGGGAGGGCAGAGAGACAGGGAGACACAGAAUUCAAAGCAGGCUCCAGGCUCUGAACUGCCAGCACAGAGCCCGGCGCGGGGCUCGAACCCACGAACUGCCAGAUCAUGAGCUGAGCUGAAGUCGGACACCUAACCAACAGCCCCCAGGCGCCCCUCCUUAUUGGCUAAUUUAAAGCCUUGGGUGGGAAUUAAGGUACUGGAAGGGAGAAGCAAGGUUACCGAAAUGGUCAAUUAUCUAGGUUCCGCAGGGCUUUCUGGAACUAGGCGCUUCAUGAAUGAAGAUGGCCCAGUCCCUUCUCUGGUUGUUUUGCUAGUACUUGUGUCAAAAAGCUGGCAAUAUUUCUAUUAUUUAGAAUGGAUGUCUUUUGAAAUGGAUGCCUCAGUGGUCAAAAGCUUAAUGUCAGGUACUUAUUCCUAUGCUAGCUUUUACGCUAAUAAUUGUGUGGGUUUUUUUUUUUUAAUGCAUUAAUCUUUUGGGGCGUCUGGGUGGCUCAGUCGGUUAAGCAACCGACUCUUGAUUUUAGCUCGUCAUGAUCUCAGUUCAUGGGUUCUGGCCCCGCAUGGGGUUUGCUGCUGUCAUUGCGGAUCAAACUCUGUAUCCUCUGUCCCUCUCUCUCUGCCCCUCCCCCGCUCGUGCUCUCUCGAGCGCGCUGUCACUUUCAAAAAUAAAUAAACAUUAAAAAAAAUAAUAAUAAUAAAAUACACUCAGAUAAUCCCGUCAGGACUAUCUCACAGGAAGAGACAGCCGAAAUUCCGCCUGGUGGAGUUCGUUCCCACUCACACCCGCUCGGCCGCAGGGUCGUGCCUUCGGCCGUUCUGGGGGGACCCAGCGCCAGGGCGAGCAGCGAGGCUCCCCGAGCGCCGAGACCUAGGCGCGAGCACGCGUGGGUUUACCGCGGGGUCGCGAGACCUUGGCUGCGGCCGCGGGUUCUGCGCUUGCGCCUGCGCAUUCGGAGCCCGGCGCGCUGGCCGCGGGAAGGUGUGUCCCGAAGCCCCGGGGCGGUGGUCGCGGAGGCUCCCGGGACAGGGAUGGUGCGCCGUCGGUGGUUCUGCCCCCGCGCCCUGCCAUUCUCCAAAUGAAGGAGGAAAAGUGGUUGUACAUCCGAAAGUCCAGCUCAGUCUGCAGAUGCUUUUCACCUGAUUUAUGUCCACUUAAAGAAGAAUCUUGGCAAUAUAAAGAUCUCAUAUUGAAGAAGAAUGUUCAAGAACUGCCAUACUGGGAGAUUCUCCAACACACGGGACAUGUCUGAUUCAUCACUGUAUCCAUGCUCCGGGCCCGGGAGAGCAGAGGUCCAAUGAACUGCUGAGCAAAGGAGCGAUCGUGACAAUGGCUAUCAUUUACUAUCCACUCUCUACAUGCCAGGUAUGGUUCUAGAAGCUUUAUAUUGAUUCAAUCUUCUGAAUAACCCAGACAAAUACGAAAUGGGAGUCACAGAGAGGCUAACUUAUUGAGCAGUUAC